rnacentral:tRNA from 1 species
GGGCCGUUAGCUCAGCAGGGAGAGCGUCGCGAUGGCAUUGCGAAGGUCGCCGGUUCGACCCCGGCACGGUCCACCA